rnacentral:rRNA from 1 species
AUUGAACGCUGGCGGCGGGCCUAACACAUGCAAGUCGAGCGGCAGCAGGAAGUAGCUUGCUACUUUGCCGGCGAGCGGCGGACGGGUGAGUAAUGUCUGGGAAACUGCCUGAUGGAGGGGGAUAACUACUGGAAACGGUAGCUAAUACCGCAUAAUGUCGCAAGACCAAAGAGGGGGACCUUCGGGCCUCUUGCCAUCAGAUGUGCCCAGAUGGGAUUAGCUAGUAGGUGGGGUAAUGGCUCACCUAGGCGACGAUCCCUAGCUGGUCUGAGAGGAUGACCAGCCACACUGGAACUGAGACACGGUCCAGACUCCUACGGGAGGCAGCAGUGGGGAAUAUUGCACAAUGGGCGCAAGCCUGAUGCAGCCAUGCCGCGUGUAUGAAGAAGGCCUUCGGGUUGUAAAGUACUUUCAGCGGGGAGGAAGGUGUUGAGGUUAAUAACCUCAGCAAUUGACGUUACCCGCAGAGGAAGCACCGGCUAACUCCGUGCCAGCCGCCGCCGUAUAC